CCUACGGGGGGCAGCAGUGGGGAAUAUUGCACAAUGGGGGAAACACUGAUGCAGCGACGCCGCGUGAGUGAAGAAGGAUUUCGGUAUGUUAAGCUCUAUCAGCAGGGAAGAAAAUGACGGUACCUGAUUAAGAAGCCCCGGCGAAAUACGUGCCAGCAGCCGCAGGAAUACGUGGGCGGCAAGCGUUAUCCGGAUUUACUGGGUGUUAAGGGAGCGUAGACGGCAGCACAAGUCUGGAGUGAAAUGCCGGGGCUUAACCCCGGAACUGCUUUGGACACUGUGCAGCUAGAGUGCAGGAGAGGUAAGUGGAAUGCGUGGUGUAGCGGUGAAAUGCGUAGAUAUUAGGAGGAACACCAGUGGCGAAGGCGGCUUACUGGACGGAAACUGACGUUGAGGCUCGAAAGCGUGGGGAGCAAACAGGAUUAGAUACCCCUGUAGUC
rnacentral:rRNA from 1 species